rnacentral:rRNA from 1 species
AUAUGCCGAUAUGUUNCUAAUAUAUUCUUAUAUACUACUGAAACAUCAGAAAGUUUAGUAAAGGAGAAAGAACAUUGCAAAUUUAUAAAAAGUACCGCAAGGGAAUAUAAUUAACAUAAAAAAAUAGCUGCUAUAGCGUACUUUUUGUAUCACGAUUUAGCAAGAGUAUACCAGAAUUCUGUUUUCUCGAAAGCUAGUGAGCUAUUUUUCUUAGGCUAUUAGUGCCUCAGCUCUAAAUGUAGCAAAAUUUAAGUAAUAAGGAAAAAUAGAGAUGAAAUUUCAUCCGCACUAGCGAUAGCUAGUUUCUCCGGAAAGAUAUAAAAGUGUCGGGGAAAAAUUUGAUUUAUAAUAUUAAUUAUUAUAUAUAGAUUAUUUUCCACUAAUUUUUCUGAGGAUAAGCUCAGAAAAAAGUUAAGAUAUUUUUAAUUAAAGUUGUUGCGUGGGCUUAAAAUUGGCCACCAUAAAAGUUUGUUAUAAAAUAAUAACUUUAAAUCUAAAAAUAAAUAUAUUUUGAUCUAACAUCUUACGGAGACAAGAACUUCAACUAAAGUAAGUUUUACGCCUAUGCUAGGAUGAGUAUUAAAAACAACUUUAUACAAGAAAAUCUUUUCUUUUUUUCUUCAGAAAAAAUAUUUGUAGAAAAAAAUUAAUUGGAAGGAACUCGGCAAAUUUAGUUGCUUCGCCUGUUUAUCAAAAACAUGGCUCUCUGUUUACAUAAAUAUAGGGAGUCGAGCCUGCCCAGUGAAUUUUUAAACGGCCGCGGUACUCUGACCGUGCAAAGGUAGCAUAAUCAUUUGCCUUAUAAUUGAAGGCUAGUAUGAAUGGUUUGACGAGAGCAACACUGUCUCCUUUUUAUUUUCAAGAACUUAACUUUUAGGUGAAGAGGCCUAAAUUUUAUUGAAGGACAAGAAGACCCUAUCGAGCUUAAAAGACAUUAUAGAAGUUUAUAUAUUUCUAAAUAAAUUUUCUAUUGAGCUUUUUAGUUGGGGCGACUAAGGAACAAAAAAAGCUUCUUGCUGAUAAUAGACAGUCAUGUUUAGAUCCGAUAAUAAUCGAUCAAAGAAAUUAGUUACCGUAGGGAUAACAGCAUAAUCUCUCUUGAGAGACCUAAUCGAAAGAGGGGGUUGUGACCUCGAUGUUGGACUAGAAUAUCCUAAAGAUGCAGAAGUCUUUGAAGGUCGGUCUGUUCGGCUG